UCUUUUCCCCACUCGAUCGAAGCAGAUCUUCUCCCCUAAACCCUCGGCGCUGAACCCUUUGCCCCUGCCCGUGCCCUAGCUCCCCACACGGCGCCGAGUUUCUUCUUCUCCGCCGAUCUCUCCCUCACGCGAGCCACGCGUGCUGACUCCUCCCCGAGCCCUCUCACGACGCUGCCUCCUUCACCGAGCCUCUUCUCCCCAGGCUGUUGCCGGUUCUCUUCUCCGUCGAGCCAUAGCCGCUAAGUUCCCACACCUGAGCCGACCUUUCUUCCUCGCUCAAGCACCACAUACAGCCGCCGACCUCUCCUCACACGAGCGUCGCGGCCGACGAUCUUCCUCCUCUUCUCCCUCGAGCCACGGCCGCAGCUCCCUUUCCCUCAGGCGAGCACCAGAGCCGCGACCCUCCCCUCUCCUCCAUCUCUCUCGGAUCAGCCCAGGCAGAGCCCUGUCGCCAACAGAGUUGUGCCCUAACUGACCAGUAGAUGAGUCAUGGAUGCUUGGAGAGUUCCGGCUGCCAGUCCCACAUCACACUCGAGGAUAGUUUUCUUUUUGGUUUUGUUAUCGUUCGGGUGGUAUGUUGAUUUUGUGUAUUUUGCUUUUCAAUAAGUCGAUGUGAGUUUUGGAGUCAAGUCUGGUGAUUGUAGGUAUUUUGUUAGUGUCGUUGUUGGUCUUACGUUCAUAUUAUUUUGUAUUUUCCGCUGCGUUUACUAAUAGUCGUGUGGGCUGUUA